AAAACGACUCUCGACAACGGAUAUCUCGGCUCUCGCAUCGAUGAAGAACGCAGUGAAAUGCGAUACUUGGUGUGAAUUGCAGAAUCCCGUGAACCAUCGAGUCUUUGAACGCAAGUUGCGCCCAAAACCUUCGGGUCGAGGGCACGUCUGCCUGGGUGUCACGC
rnacentral:rRNA from 1 species